UGGGGAAUAUUGCACAAUGGGCGCAAGCCUGAUGCAGCCAUGCCGCGUGUAUGAAGAAGGCCUUCGGGUUGUAAAGUACUUUCAGCGGGGAGGAAGGUGUUGAGGCUAAUAACCUCAGCAAUUGACGUUACCCGCAGAAGAAGCACCGGCUAACUCCGUGCCAGCAGCCGCGGUAAUACGGAGGGUGCAAGCGUUAAUCGGAAUUACUGGGCGUAAAGCGCACGCAGGCGGUCUGUCAAGUCGGAUGUGAAAUCCCCGGGCUCAACCUGGGAACUGCAUUCGAAACUGGCAGGCUAGAGUCUUGUAGAGGGGGGUAGAAUUCCAGGUGUAGCGGUGAAAUGCGUAGAGAUCUGGAGGAAUACCGGUGGAGAAGGCGGCCCCCUGGACAAAGACUGACGCUCAGGUGCGAAAGCGUGGGGAGCAAACA
rnacentral:rRNA from 1 species